rnacentral:rRNA from 1 species
UACGGGAGGCAGCAGUGGGGAAUUUUGGACAAUGGGCGAAAGCCUGAUCCAGCCAUUCCGCGUGAGUGAAGAAGGCCUUCGGGUUGUAAAGCUCUUUCGCAAGGGAAGAAAACUUACCUUCUAAUAAAGGGUGAGGCUGACGGUACCUUGAUAAGAAGCACCGGCUAACUACGUGCCAGCAGCCGCGGUAAUACGUAGGGUGCGAGCGUUAAUCGGAAUUACUGGGCGUAAAGCGUGCGCAGGCUGUUUUGUAAGUCAGAUGUGAAAUCCCCGAGCUCAACUUGGGAACUGCGUUUGAAACUACAAGACUAGAAUAUGUCAGAGGGGGGUAGAAUUCCACGUGUAGCAGUGAAAUGCGUAGAGAUGUGGAGGAAUACCAAUGGCGAAGGCAGCCCCCUGGGAUAAUAUUGACGCUCAUGCACGAAAGCGUGGGGAGCAAACAGGAUUAGAUACCCUGGUAGUCCACGCCCUAAACGAUGUCUACUAGUUGUUGGUGGAGUAAAAUCCAUGAGUAACGCAGCUAACGCGUGAAGUAGACCGCCUGGGGAGUACGGUCGCAAGAUUAAAACUCAAAGGAAUUGACGG